rnacentral:rRNA from 1 species
AGGACGAACGCUGGCGGCGUGCCUAACACAUGCAAGUCGAACGGAGUUGAGGAGCUGCUCCUAACUAAGUGGCGGACGGUGAGUAACGCGUGAGUAACCUGCCUCUGAGAGGGGAAUAACGUUCUAGAAAAGGACGCUAAUACCGCAUAACACAUAUUUGCCGCAUGACAGAUAUGACCAAAGUAUUUUAUCGCUCGGAGAUGGACUCGCGUCCGAUUAGUUAGUUGGUGAGGUAACGGCUCACCAAGACCGCGAUCGGUAGCCGGACUGAGAGGUUGAUCGGCCACAUUGGACUGAGACACGGCCCAGACUCCUACGGGAGGCAGCAGGUGGGGGAUAUUGCGCAAUGGGGGCAACCCUGAACCGCAGCAACGCCGCGUGAAGGAUGAAGGUUUUCGGAUUGUAAACUUCUUUUCUCAGGGACGAAGAAUGACGGUACCUGAGGAAUAAGCUCCGGCUAACUACGUGCCAGCCGCAGC